AAUUUUCAAUUUGAUAAAUACCACGUUAACAUAAAUAACCUAUAAAUCAAUUAUUGAAGAUUAUAAAGAGAGAGUUUUAUAUCACUUAAAUUAAAAAUAAGUGUUUUGUAUUAUAAAUUAAAAUUUAGAUACUUACUGUUAUAUACCUUUAAAUUAAGAUAUUAUUUGUAUAAUUUAUCCUAAACUAGUUCCAGUAGCUUAACCAUUUUGUUGGUAUUGGAAGUAUGAGGAUUUUGACUUCAAAAUAAUGAAACUAACAUAUACACUUUCUGAUUGGGAAUAAUUUUAUAUAUAAAAAGAUAUAUAUAUAAAAAAAAAAAU
rnacentral:misc_RNA from 1 species